AGCGAACGCUGGCGGCAGGCCUAACACAUGCAAGUCGAGCGGCCGUAGCAAUACGGCAGCGGCAGACGGGAGAGUAACACGUGGGAACGCGCCCUUCGGUCUGGAAUAACCCAGGGAAACUUGGGCUAAUACCGGAUACGCCCUUACGGGGAAAGAUUUAUUGCCGAAGGAACGGCCCGCGUCCGAUUAGCUAGUUGGUGAGGUAACGGCUCACCAAGGCGACGAUCGGUAGCUGGUCUGAGAGGAUGACCAGCCUCACUGGGACUGAGACACGGCCCAGACUCCUACGGGAGGCAGCAGUGGGGAAUAUUGGACAAUGGGCGCAAGCCUGAUCCAGCCAUGCCGCGUGGGUGAUGAAGGCCCUAGGGUUGUAAAGCCCUUUCAGCGGGGAAGAUAAUGACGGUACCCGCAGAAGAAGCCCCGGCUAACUUCGUGCCAGCAGCCGCCGCCGUAA
rnacentral:rRNA from 1 species